rnacentral:rRNA from 1 species
AUGACGGGGGUCCAGGAACAGCAAUACGAAGAGUUCUUUGGUGGGUUUUUCUUUGAUGAAGAUGCGUUAAGCAAGGAUAUAUCAUUGGAUGGGCUGGACAAGGAACUUGAGGAGCACAAGAACUAUGAUGUGCUAAUAAGUAUUCUAGCCAACGGUGAAAAACAGCGUGACAUGGCAACCAUGGUGGAAGGCAACCUAGGCCAUAUUGAACAGGAUCUGAUUCAAGAUUAUAUAAAAGAUAAUGACAGCCUAGUUCUGUUGCAUGAUCAGAUUCAUGACUGUGACAUUGUUUUAUCUCAAAUAGGAUCACUUCUUAGUGGAUUUCAGGUUCACAUUGGUUCUUUAAGCUCGGAACUUAGAAGUCUCCACGAGAAAUCCUUGGACUUGGGUGUGAGGCUGAAGAACCGGAAGUUGGCUGAGACAAAGCUUGCAGCAUUUGUCGAAGAAAUUGUCGCUCCUCCUGGUUUGGUGAAUGCUAUAAUUGAUGGAGAGGUAAAUGAUGAUUAUAUCAAAAGCCUAAACAUGUUGAGCAAAAAGUUGAGAUUUGCUCAAGUUGAUCCACUGCUUAAUGCAUCAAAAGCUCUGAAAGAUAUUAAGCAAGAACUGGAAAGGCUUCGGAAAAAGGCACUAUCAAAGGUGUCCGCCUAUGUCAUUGGGAUAUUCUCUUCCAUGAGAAAGCCUGGAACUAAUAUCCAGAUACUUCAACAAAAUUUGCUUCAGAAGUAUAGGUAUCUUGUUCUCUUUCUUAAAGAACAUGGAAUCGAGACAUAUAAUGAUGUCUGUGCAGCAUAUGUUGAUAAAAUGAACAAGGUGCUGAGUGAAGAUUUUCGUGUGUACUUAGAAUCAUUGGAGAGUUUGAAGCUAGAUAUUGGUGUAUCCACUGAUGUGAUUGGAUAUGACGCCAAUGUCCUAGACCUUAUACCAAGGGGGAGAGAGCAACUGAGAAAUCAUCGUUUCAUGUUUUCUUUAGGUGAACGAUCAAACAUUUUGAAGGAGAUUGAUCAGCCUGGCUUGGUACCUUGUAUAUCUGAAGCUAAUUCCUUGAAAUACCCAUAUGAGGUUAUUUUUAGGAGCCUACAAAAGCUUCUGAUGGACACUGCUAGCUCUGAGUAUAUUUUUAUCAAAGCAUUCUUUCGCGAAGAGUCGAUGUUUUAUCAAGUUUUUGAAGGACCUUUUGCAGUAAUUGAUGAAAACAUGAAGCUUACUCUUGCAAAUAGUCAUGAUGCAAUAUGCCUGAUGCUCAUGAUCUGCAUAACUAAAAAGCACCAGCUGGUUAUGUCCAACAGGCGGCUUCCUUGUCUAGAUACAUAUUUGGAUAAGGCUCUCAUCUAUCUCUGGCCACGUUUCAAGAUAGUGUUUGACAUGUAUAUUCAAAGCUUGUACCAAUGUGAUGCGAAAAUGUCAUGGGUGGAUGGGACCCAUCCACACCACAUUGUAAGGUGCUACAUGGAGUUCACAGCAUCUCUUAUUCAACUUAAUGCUGAAUGUGGAGAUGGUCAGCUUGAUAUGAGCUUGAAACGGUUGCGUUUAGCUGUUGAUGAUCUACUUGUUAGAUUUGCCGAAAAGUUUGCAACUCAGAAACUGCAACACCUGUUUCUUUUGAAUAAUUGUGACAUGGCCAUCUCUAUCCUGAAGGAAGCUGGUGAAGAAGCAAAAGAACUGCGGAGAUAUUUUGAAGAGAAGCUGGAAAGUAACCUGGUUUCAUUUGUGGAUGAAUUGCUCAUGGAGUAUUUUGGCGAUUUAAUUAAAUUUGUGAAGAACCACAUUUCCGAAGACCUAAUUUCUUACACUGAGUGCCCAAAAAUUGCUGAUGUUGAGCUGGUUGUGAAGAACUUCGCCGUGAAGUGGAGAACUGCUCUAGAGCUCAUGCACAAUGAAGUUGUAACUUGUUGCAGUAACUUUGUGUCUGGUAUGGCGAUUCUAAAAGCAGCAAUGGCUCAGUUGCUUAAUGACUACAACAGACUCUCAGAAUGUGUGAAGAUGAUCCCAGGUGGAUCUUCUUUGAACAGGAAUCUGGUUUCUAUCACCUCGAUUUCAUACGAAAUCAGGAAAUAUUCAAGAACACUCUAG